GAUGAAGAACGUAGCGAAAUGCGAUAAGUAAUGUGAAUUGCAGAAUUCAGUGAAUCAUCGAAUCUUUGAACGCACAUUGCGCCCGCCAGUAUUCUGGCGGGCAUGCCUGUCUGAGCGUCAUUUCAACCCUCAUGCCCCUAGGGCGUGGUGUUGGGGAUCGGCCAAAGCCCGCGAGGGACGGCCGGCCCCUAAAUCUAGUGGCGGACCCGUCGUGGCCUCCUCUGCGAAGUAGUGAUAUUCCGCAUCGGAGAGCGUUGAGCCCCUGCCGUUAAACCCCCAACUUUCCAAGGUUGACCUCAGAUCAGGUAGGAAUACCCGCUGAACUUAAGCAUAUCAAUAAGCGGAGGA
rnacentral:misc_RNA from 1 species